UUUAAAUCCAAAUAAUCUACUGGUGGCCACGCCCACUAACUCAAUGUUUGCACUCGCACAUGAAAAUGUCUGCAAAGAGAUGCACGGUUAUACAACUGUGCAUCUUGGAAAAGCAGAAGUGGAGCCUCCUGUACAACCAACAAGAAUGCAGCAAUAAAAAAUUCAUCUUUU